UACAGAGGGUGCAAGCGUUGUUCGGAAUUAUUGGGCGUAAAGGGAGUGUAGGCGGUUUGUUAAGUCUUCUGUGAAAUCUACGGGCUUAGCCUGUAAAGUGCAGAGGAAACUAGCAGGCUUGAGUGUCGGAGAGGAUAGGGGAAUUCCCGGUGUAGAGGUGAAAUUCGUAGAGAUCGGGAGGAACACCAGUGGCGAAGGCGCCUAUCUGGCUGACAACUGACGCUGAGACUCGAAAGCAUGGGGAGCAAACAGG
rnacentral:rRNA from 1 species